rnacentral:rRNA from 1 species
GACAGGGGUCUCAAGCGUUAAUCGGAAUCACUGGGCUUAAAGGGUGCGUAGGCGGGCCAAUAAGUGUUCUGUGAAAUCCCUCGGCUCAACCGGGGAACCGCAGGGCAUACUGUUGGUCUUGAGGAAGGUAGAGGCCGGUGGAACGAUAGGUGGAGCGGUGGAAUGCGUAGAUAUCAGGAGGAACACCGAUGGCGAAGGCAGGUCUCUGGGCUGACACUGACGCUCAUGCACGAAAGCGUGGGGAGCAAACAGG